GCCUGGGUGGCUCAGUCAGUCAAGCCUCUGACUUCAGCUCAGGUCACGAUCUCACAGUCUGCGGGUUCGAGCCCCGUGUCGGGCU
rfam:Felis catus isolate Cinnamon breed Abyssinian chromosome B3, whole genome shotgun sequence.